rnacentral:misc_RNA from 1 species
CUCACAGUCCUCCUGGCUGAAGGGCAACUCAACAUUAAUUCCUCCAGACAAAUAAAUUGACAAGUGCUCAGCAGCUUCCUUAGGCUUGUUUAGCAAGCAGAGGGCCUCAGCUGCAUAUACAUGACCAAGAAAAACAUAAAUUCUUGAGCAUUCUGGAAUUUCCAAGAGGGACUUUGCAAUGGACAAGGCCUUCUCAGGAUUUUCUAGUUCCAACUCCACAUAAGCCAAGUUAGCAAGAAGAGCUUGCUUAAUCAUCUGAUUCUCUCUC